rnacentral:rRNA from 1 species
AGAGUUUGAUCAUGGCUCAGGAUGAACGCUAGCUACAGGCUUAACACAUGCAAGUCGAGGGGAAACGAUAUUGGAAGCUUGCUUCCGAUAGGCGUCGACCGGCGCACGGGUGAGUAACGCGUAUCCAACCUGCCCACCACUUGGGGAUAACCUUGCGAAAGUAAGACUAAUACCCAAUGAUAUCUCUAGAAGACAUCUGAAAGAGAUUAAAGAUUUAUCGGUGAUGGAUGGGGAUGCGUCUGAUUAGCUUGUUGGCGGGGUAACGGCCCACCAAGGCAACGAUCAGUAGGGGUUCUGAGAGGAAGGUCCCCCACAUUGGAACUGAGACACGGUCCAAACUCCUACGGGAGGCAGCAGUGAGGAAUAUUGGUCAAUGGACGAGAGUCUGAACCAGCCAAGUAGCGUGCAGGAAGACGGCCCUAUGGGUUGUAAACUGCUUUUAUAAGGGAAUAAAGUGAGAGUCGUGACUCUUUUUGCAUGUACCUUAUGAAUAAGGACCGGCUAAUUCCGUGCCAGCAGCCGCGGUAAUACGGAAGGUCCGGGCGUUAUCCGGAUUUAUUGGGUUUAAAGGGAGCGUAGGCCGGAGAUUAAGCGUGUUGUGAAAUGUAGACGCUCAACGUCUGCACUGCAGCGCGAACUGGUUUCCUUGAGUACGCACAAAGUGGGCGGAAUUCGUGGUGUAGCGGUGAAAUGCUUAGAUAUCACGAAGAACUCCGAUUGCGAAGGCAGCUCACUGGAGCGCAGCUGACGCUGAAGCUCGAAAGUGCGGGUAUCGAACAGGAUUAGAUACCCUGGUAGUCCGCACGGUAAACGAUGGAUGCCCGCUGUUGGUCUGAAUAGGUCAGCGGCCAAGCGAAAGCAUUAAGCAUCCCACCUGGGGAGUACGCCGGCAACGGUGAAACUCAAAGGAAUUGACGGGGGCCCGCACAAGCGGAGGAACAUGUGGUUUAAUUCGAUGAUACGCGAGGAACCUUACCCGGGCUUGAAUUGCAGAGGAAGGAUUUGGAGACAAUGACGCCCUUCGGGGCCUCUGUGAAGGUGCUGCAUGGUUGUCGUCAGCUCGUGCCGUGAGGUGUCGGCUUAAGUGCCAUAACGAGCGCAACCCCUCUCCUUAGUUGCCAUCAGGUUAAGCUGGGCACUCUGGGGACACUGCCACCGUAAGGUGUGAGGAAGGUGGGGAUGACGUCAAAUCAGCACGGCCCUUACGUCCG